rnacentral:misc_RNA from 1 species
UCCCCGUUACCGGGGCAGUCUGAUUAGAAAAAUACAACUAAUCACAAGGGUUGCGCUCGUUAAUGGACUUAACCAAACAUCUCACGACACGAGCUGACGACGGCCAUGCAUCAUCUGUCACCAAGUUCCUUGCGGCACAGUUUCCUUUCGGAAGCCUUCUUGGGAUGUCAAACCCUGGUAAGGUUCAUCGUUUAACAUCGAAUUAAAGAACACGAUCCACCGCUUGUGCGGGUCCCCGUCAAUUCCUUUAUGUUUUAGUCUUGCGACCGUACUCCACAGGCGGGAUGCUUAACGCGUUAGCUUCGCUACUGAAGGGGUCGAUACCUCCAACAGCUAGCAUCCAUAGUUUACGGCGUGGACUAC